rnacentral:lncRNA from 1 species
UGGAGGCAAAAUUGAAGGUAGCCAUCAACGGAUUUGGAAGGAUCGGAAGGAAUUUCUUGAGGUGCUGGCAUGGCAGGAAGGACUCUCCCCUAGAAGUCAUUGCCAUCAAUGACUCUGGCGGUGUCAAGCAAGCCUCUCACCUCCUCAAGUACGACUCUACCCUUGGCAUCUUUGACGCUGACGUCAAGCCUGUUGGUACUGAUGGCAUCUCUGUUGAUGGAAAGGUCAUCAAAGUCGUCUCCGACCGCAACCCCAUCAAUCUCCCCUGG